rnacentral:rRNA from 1 species
AUUGAACGCUGGCGGCAGGCCUAACACAUGCCAGUCGAACGGUAACAGGAAGGAGCUUGCUUCUUUGCUGACGAGUGGCGGACGGGUGAGUAAUGUCUGGGAAACUGCCUGAUGGAGGGGGAUAACUACUGGAAACGGUAGCUAAUACCGCAUAACGUCGCAAGACCAAAGAGGGGGACCUUCGGGCCUCUUGCCAUCGGAUGUGCCCAGAUGGGAUUAGCUAGUAGGUGGGGUAACGGCUCACCUAGGCGACGAUCCCUAGCUGGUCCGAAAGGAUGGCCAGCCACACUGGAACUGAGACACGGUCCAGACUCCUACGGGAGGCAGCAGUGGGGAAUAUUGCACAAUGGGCGCAAGCCUGAUGCAGCCAUGCCGCGUGUAUGAAGAAGGCCUUCGGGUUGUAAAGUACUUUCAGCGGGGAGGAAGGGAGUAAAGUUAAUACCUUUGCUCAUUGACGUUACCCGCAGAAGAAGCACCGGCUAACUCCGUG